rnacentral:rRNA from 1 species
GGCUUUUUGUUAAAAAUAUAAAGUCUAACCUGCCCAUUGAUUAUUAGAUUUAACGGCCGCAGUAAUUUGACUGUGCUAAGGUAGCAUAAUCAUUAGUUUUUUAAUUGAAAACUGGAAUGAAGGGUUUAAUGAGAAGUUAGCUGUCUCUUAAAAAUUUUUUGAAAUUUAUUUUUAAGUUAAAAGGCUUAAUUAAUAUUAAAAGACGAGAAGACCCUUUAGAGUUUUAUAAAGAUUAAUAAUUUUUAUAUUUGGAAAAAAUUUUGUAUUAUUAAUUUUUAUUUGAUUGGGGUGAUUAUUAAAUAAAUUUAACUUUAAUUUUUUACAACAUCUAUAGUUGAUUAUUUGAUCCAUUUACAAUGAUUAUUAGAAUAAAUUACCUAAGGGAUAACAGCGUAAUUUUUUUGGAGAGUUCAAAUUUAUAAAAAAGAUUGCGACCUCGAUGUUGGAUUAAAAUAUGUAAUUGGUGUAGAAGCUAAUUAACUUGGUCUGUUCGACCAUUAAAAUUUUACA